AGAAACUGGAAAAUUUCAGGAUUGAGUGAGAUUGGAGGGCCAGAGCAGUAGAAGCACGAAUCUCCCAAAGUCUUGGAGUCCAUGAUGUGGAACCGGUCUGAAGAAGCUUAGAGACAGAAUUAGGAAUAAAGCAUCUCAGGUAUCGUUGGAGGAUGCAAGCUGUUCCAAGCAAAGCUGCCUUUUGCAAUUGACUGAUGGUGAAUUUGUCAAUGGCGA